rnacentral:rRNA from 1 species
UACGAAGGGGGCUAGCGUUGCUCGGAAUUACUGGGCGUAAAGGGCGCGUAGGCGGUUUGUACAGUCAGAUGUGAAAUUCCUGGGCUCAACCUGGGGGCUGCAUUUGAUACGUAUGGACUGGAGUGAGGAAGAGGGUCGUGGAAUUCCCAGUGUAGAGGUGAAAUUCGUAGAUAUUGGGAAGAACACCGGUGGCGAAGGCGGCGACCUGGUCCUUUACUGACGCUGAGGCGCGAAAGCGUGGGGAGCAAACAGG